UAGCGAAGGGGCUAGCGUUGCUCGGAAUCACUGGGCGUAAAGCGCACGUAGGCGGCUAUUCAAGUCAGAGGUGAAAGCCCAGGGCUCAACCCUUGGAACUGCCUUUGAAACUAGAUAGCUAGAAUCCUGGAGAGGCGAGUGGAAUUCCGAGUGUAGAGGUGAAAUUCGUAGAUAUUCGGAAAGAACACCAGUGGCGAAGGCGACUCGCUGGACAGGUAUUGACGCUGAGGUGCGAAAGCG
rnacentral:rRNA from 1 species